UCUCUAUUAGUACAUAUCACAUAUGUAUCAAAUAUGCAUCAAUUCAUAUCAUCAUAUGAAAACAUAAUCAUAAACAUGAUUAUAGCAUAAUUCAUAGCAUAUUUAAAUUUGACACUAUGAGCAUUUAUAUAAACAUAUGAUUGAGCCAAACAAGAUCAGGCUCUGAUACCACUGUAGUGUUCGAUUAAUAACAUACAUAGCGAAAGCAUAAUAAAUUUCAAAAAUUUUAGCAUCAUGAAAUCCUAAAUUACUCAAAUCCU
rnacentral:lncRNA from 1 species